UGAGUUUACUGCAGGGCAUGAAAACAAGCAAUGCUGACUUCACACUCAGAGCUGCAAUUACAGGAAAGGACAAGGCAUUUCAUCAGCGCUAAAUAUGCACCUUAACCCACAGGACUGUUUGCAAAGCAGGUCAACUUAACAGGGACUUUCCAACCAGCUGCUGAGACGCAACGAAGACAUCAAUUGAAAACAUGGAAUCCCAUCAGCACAGACAUGCAGAGAUUUGAAGGAGAUGUGCAGACCCAGGUCCCCUCCCACUGGUACAAGGAUGCCCACCCGCCCGCACCCUCCUCCCCUCCUCUCCAUUCGAGGCAGUGCUGGGAGCAGAGAAGGACCUGACCGCAGCACGUGCUGGGAGCAGACAAGGACCUGACCGCAGCACGGUGAGUAACGCUCUGCUCAGC